AGCAGCUGACUCUUAAUCAGCGGGUCCACGGUUCGAGCCCGUGAUCACCCACCA
rnacentral:tRNA from 1 species